UUAGUCCAUUGAGGUGCUGCGUUUUGGGAUUUUGGGUUUAUUUUCUGUUUUGGUCCUCCCCUUUUUUACGCGCGUCGCAAUUGGAUCCCUUUCGUUUUCCUUUAUUUCGAAUUGGCCCUAUAUGUUUUAUUUCAUUUCGAUUUAAGGCCCCUUUUUAGCAUAUUUUAUUAUUUAGUCAAUUUUUGUUAACUUCAUUAUUAUUAUUAUUAUUAUUAUUAUUAUUAUCAUCUUUACUAUUAUUAGUAUUGGUAUUAUUGUUGUUACUUUUACAUCUCUAUUCAUAUAUAC
rnacentral:lncRNA from 1 species